rnacentral:rRNA from 1 species
UCCUGUACUUGGUGUUACUGCGAAGGGGGGACGGAGAAGGCUAUGUCAGCCGGGCGACGGUUGUCCCGGUUUAAGCAUGUAGGCGGAGGUUCCAGGUAAAUCCGGUACCUUUUAACGCUGAGGUGUGAUGACGAGGCACUACGGUGCUGAAGUGAUAAAUGCCCUGCUUCCAGGAAAAGCCUCUAAGCAUCAGGUAACACGAAAUCGUACCCCAAACCGACA